UACGGAGGGUGCAAGCGUUGUCCGGAAUCACUGGGCGUAAAGGGCGCGUAGGCGGCUCAUGAAGGCUGUGGUGAAAGUCCGGGGCUCAACCUCGGAUCGGCCGUGGCGACUCGUGGGCUGGAGCACUGUAGAGGCGGGUGGAAUUCCGGGUGUAGCGGUGGAAUGCGUAGAGAUCCGGAAGAAUACCGGUGGCGAAGGCGGCCUGCUGGGCAGUGGCUGACGCUGAGGCGCGACAGCGUGGGGAGCAAACAGG
rnacentral:rRNA from 1 species